ensembl:lncRNA
AUGCAUGAUGGGAAACGCAAUGAGCUGCUUGUCAGGGGAGAGACAAUUCACAGGAGAGGGCCUAUGAAAGCUAUAUACAUUCCCAAUUUACUCCCAUCUCUGCGGUUUUUAAGCUCAUCAAAAUGGCUGGAUGAACUAUUCAACAGAAGAUGCGGUGACGUGAAAAUGCUCAGCAAGGUUCAGUUAAGAAACUCACACAAGCUGACUGGUUAAGACACCUUCCUUUCUCGGUCGGGUCUGGCGGCUGAUGUGAGAGCUUCUACAGAUCGCAGCCUCAGUGGGAAUUGGACUUCAUGACGGGUAAACAAAGCCUCUCUGAAGCUUCUCAUCCUUGACCUCUUGAUCCCAGACAAAACCAGUGAUUCUGGUCCACCUGAGACAUUUCUCUGUGAUAUUUAGUGUCUUUGGUAAUAAUACUAACAUGACUGGUACUUUUUUC